GAUGAACGCUGGCGGCGUGCUUAACACAUGCAAGUCGAACGAUGAAGGAGGAGCUUGCUCCUCUGGAUUAGUGGCGAACGGGUGAGUAACACGUGAGCAAUCUGCCCCUGACUCUGGGAUAAGCGUUGGAAACGACGUCUAAUACCGGAUACGAGCCGAGCAGGCUUCUGCAUCGGUUGGAAAGAACUUCGGUCAGGGAUGAGCGCGCGGCCUAUCAGCUAGUUGGUGAGGUAAUGGCUCACCAAGGCGACGACGGGUAGCCGGCCUGAGAGGGUGACCGGCCACACUGGGACUGAGACACGGCCCAGACUCCUACGGGAGGCAGCAGUGGGGAAUAUUGCACAAUGGGCGCAAGCCUGAUGCAGCAACGCCGCGUGAGGGACGACGGCCUUCGGGUUGUAAACCUCUUUUAGCAGGGAAGAAGCGAGAGUGACGGUACCUGCAGAAAAAGCACCGGCUAACUACGUGCCAGCCGCCGCGGUAA
rnacentral:rRNA from 1 species